GGGUGUGAUGAAAUAAACCUCUUAACCCACCUGAUAUUUCAUGCAUUUCGUCGUAAAAGUAAAACCACAAGUUGGUGUCUGCAGUCACAGAGUAUAAUGGAAACAGGGGUAAAGAUCUUGUCACUCCUCCCCUACAUACCUACAAUUCACCUCCCAUUUGCUAACUUCAGAACAGAAAAGACCGAACCAGAGAACAGUAAUACAUACAUUGCUGCAGAGACCAAGGCAGAAAGAAAAUUACAAUCAAAAUCCAAUAAUCAGACAAAUGGAUCCCAGCCAGUCUUUCAGUCACACCCGGCCAUAUCCAGGACAGUGCGUGGUUGGUGUGCAGCCUGCAGUUUUUGUGACCCCCAAUCCACCGGCCAGUCUAGUGCCAGAUCACUUGGGCUACUCCAUCUUUACCAUGCUGUGCUGCUGUUUACCUCUGGGCAUUGCUGCACUGGUUUACUCCUGCUCUACUCGAGAUGCCAUCUACUCAGGACAGCAAGAAUUAGCAAAGAAGAACUCCAGAACAGCGCUCAUGCUGAAUCACAUCGGCCUUGGGAUUGGCAUGGUUAUUAUUGUAUUGGUUAUUAUCAACCAUAUGGCGAAAUAAAGAGAAAAGCUGUUAGAGCUGACAUGGCUGGAUGCAGAUUACAAACAGAUUGGUUUGUCUUUAUUUUAAAUGUUACUUGCUCAAUUUAUCAUUAUUCUCCUGCUUUAAGGCUGAUUAUUCUCCUUAAAGCAUGAGAAUAAUGAUAAAUUGAGCAAGUAACAUUUAAAAUAAAGACAAACAAAUCUGUUUGUAAUCUGCAUCCAGCCUAGUCAGCUCUAACAGCUUUUAUCUUUAUUUCGCCAUAUGGAUGAUAAUAACCAAUACAAUAAUAACCAUGCCAAUCCCAAGGCCGAUGUGAUUCAGCAUGAGCGCUGUUCUGGAGUUCUUCUUUGCUAAUUCUUGCUGUCCUGAGUAGAUGGCAUCUCGAG
ensembl:lncRNA